UCAGCCGGGGCUGAACUCUCAGGUGCUCCUUGAAGCCCAGGAUGCUGUUAACUGGGAGAAAGACCCUGGCAGUCUAUCCCUCUUACCCUCCCUGCCCCAACUUUCCAGGACCUGGUUCCAGCCCACUCUUCUCCCUGCUGCCUGGGUAUCGUGGCCACCCCAGUUUCCAGUCCUUGGUGAGCAAGCUCCGGAGCCAAGUGAUGUCCAUGGCCCGGCCACAGCUGUCACACACGAUCCUCACCGAGAAGAACUGGUUCCACUACGCUGCCCGGAUCUGGGACGGGGUGAGAAAGUCCUCUGCUCUGGCAGAGUACAGCCGCCUGCUGGCCUGAGGCCAAGGAGAGGAAUGUCAUGCAGGGGACCUCCUGGGUCCCCAGUGUACUGCGAGGGAGCACAAAUGUCCGUCCCCCGCUGGGGUGGAGAGCGGCAGCAGGCCUGAUGGAUGAGGGAUCGUGGCUUCCCGGCCCAGAGACAUGAGGUGUCCAGGGCCAGGCCCCCCACCCUCAGUUGGGGCUGUUCCGGGGGUGACUGUGAGCGA
rnacentral:sRNA from 1 species